CAAUUUGGGUUGCUUAUACUGCAGUCGAGCGAAUGGAUGGGAGCUUGCUCCCUGAGAUUAGCGGCGGACGGGUGAGUAACACGUGGGCAACCUGCCUAUAAGACUGGGAUAACUUCGGGAAACCGGAGCUAAUACCGGAUACGUUCUUUUCUCGCAUGAGAGAAGAUGGAAAGACGGUUUACGCUGUCACUUAUAUAUGGGCCCGCGGCGCAUUAUCUAUUUGGGGAGGUAAUGGCUCACCAAGGCGACGAUGCGUAGCCGACCUGAGAGGGUGAUCGGCCACACUGGGACUGAGACACGGCCCACACUCCUACGGGAGGCAGCAGUAGGGAAUCUUCCGCAAUGGACGAAAGUCUGACGGAGCAACGCCGCGUGAGCGAAGAAGGCCUUCGGGUCGUAAAGUUCUGUUGUUAGGGAAGAACAAGUACCAUAGUAACUGCUGGUACCUUGACGGUACCUAACCACAAAGCCACGGCUAACUACUUGCCAGCAGCCGCGGUAAUACGUAGGUGGCAAGCGUUGUCCGGAAUUAUUGGGGGUAAAGCGCGCGCAGGUGGUUCCUUAAGUCUGAUGUGAAAGCCCCCCGCUCAACCGCGGAGGGUCAUUGGAAACUGGGGAACUUGAGUGCAGAAGAGGAAAGUGGAAUUCCUCGUGUAGCGGUGAAAUGCGUAGAGAUAUGGAGGAACACCACUGGCGAAGGCGACUUUCUGGUCUGUAACUGACACUGAUGCGCGAAAGCGUGGGUGAGCAAACAGGAUUAUAUACCCUGGUAGUCCACGCACGCAAACGAUGAGUGCUAAUGUUAGAGGGGUUUCUGCCCUCUAUUGCUGCUGCUAACGCAUUAAGCACUCCGCCUGCUGAGUACGGACCGCAAGGCUGAAACACACAAGGAAUAGACGGGGGCCGCACCACGGUGGAGCAUGUGGUGUAUUCUAAGCAACGCCAAGAACAUUACCAAGUCUUGACAUACCUCUGACAACCCUACAAAUAAGGACUUCUCCUUCUUCGGACAAAAUGACAAGUGGUGCAUGGUGC
rnacentral:rRNA from 1 species